rnacentral:rRNA from 1 species
UACGAAGGGGGCUAGCGUUGUUCGGAAUUACUGGGCGUAAAGCGCGCGCAGGCGGCUAUCCAAGUCAGUGGUGAAAGCCCGGAGCUCAACUCCGGAAUUGCCAUUGAAACUGUUUAGCUUGAGUACGAGAGAGGUGAGUGGAAUUCCCAGUGUAGAGGUGAAAUUCGUAGAUAUUGGGAAGAACACCGGUGGCGAAGGCGGCUCACUGGCUCGUAACUGACGCUCAAGCGCGACAGCGUGGGGAUCAAACAGG